rnacentral:lncRNA from 1 species
GUCAGCUGAGAGCUAUACUUGGAAUUCUUUAUACUCUUUAUGAAGAUGAAGCCAUGCACCCAGUAUUUGCUGAUAGGUAGAAAGGAAGCCUUCCAUGAAGAUCUGUUCACAUUGCACUUGCAAAUGUAAACAUGAUGCGGUAUGCCCAAUCAUCAUAUAUAUCAGAAACGUCAUCUCUUAUUUGAGAUGGAUAAUGCAUGACAUGUUUACCAAAACAGAGAGAUGAUGCAUCA